GAUGGAGGCUUCGAGAGAGACUGAUCGAGAGAGAGAGAGAGAGAGAGAGAGACAGCAACUCUGAGACAAAGGAAAACACCCAAAUACCCAAAUCGUUGAUCCCGAUUGUGCCACUACUGAUUCUUCCGUGUCUUCUACUUUUGCAGCCAUCAUCUGCUCGGUCGUUGAAUUCUUCUAUCUCUACAGUCGUGUAACCAAGAUUGAGAGAUUUUGUGAUCGGUGGGUUAUAGUUUGAAAAAUGGUGAGAGCAUUUCUCAGUUCGUGUAGAGGGGGCUGGGUUAUUCGGUUUUGUUCUGGUCGAGAGGAAGACGAAUUUGGGUUAGUGGUUUAAGGUAUCUGUUUUUGCUUUUUUAUUUUUUACUAAUCGAUUGAAAUCUAAUUGAUUCUUUAGGGUUGUCUAUAUUAAACUCCGUUUUGUUUAGUAGUUGUGUAUAUUAAACUCAAGUCCAAAGCCAGAGUCUGGUGAGUUGGGGUUCCUCUAGCCCCUCGGGUUUGGUAGUCAUAAAGUUUUUUUGUAGUGGAAGAGCAGAUGAAAGACUGUGCCUGGCACUGGUGCAUAGUUUGGGUUUCCGAUGGAUUUGCCUGUGAAGAUUCUGAGUGUGAGGAAAGAGAAGAAGGUUAGGAAAUAGAGUACUGAAAAAUAUUAAGGUGCGGGUGAAGUAGAGGAACCCCAUAUCUGUUUAAGAUGGUGGGAGGCAGAGGAAGUGAGUAGUAUAGAGAGUGAAACAGAGAGUUUUGGAUUGUUAUAGUUGAGUUGAUCGCAUACAUGUAGAACUGCAACCAGAAUUUUUAUGAAGAGAGUGAAAUGCCACUGGACAACGCUUCAUCAAGUCUGCUGUUCUUCAAUCCUAACGUAACUAUGAUCUUAAAGUCUGCUGUUAUGCAUCAUCUGCUACCUAAAUAUGAUAAUCUCCUUAAAUCUCAGUCCUGCUUUUAAUAAUUCAAUCUGGAAAUCAUAUGCAUCACUCGUCAAAUUAAUCCCAUCAUGUUAUAGUACUACUUUUCCUUUUUUUUUUCUUUUUCUUUUUUCAAGCAGUAAAAUAGGGGUGGAAGACUGGAAGUUAUACAUAUCAUAUAUAAUUUAAGGGUUAAUUGCAUAGAACUAGAUUCCUAAAAGUAGUCGGAAAGCCUUAAAGCUUCCCAGCUUUUAUUAUACAUAUCAUACCAGUCCGUCAUGCAAAGGGAUGAUCCAUUAUACCUUGAGAAGGUAGGCAUCAACCUUUUUAUUGAGAAUGAGAACAAAGUCCAGAUACUUAUUGGGAGGCCAGGUCAACAUAUUAGUUUCCAGUUUACCCACCUUUGUGUUAAGGAAGCAAGGAAGGACUGUCAGUUUUCAGUGAUUGUUUAUAUGUUCUGAUCAUAAUGUUUUGUAAACCUGUAGCCUGUAAAAGUAUUCAUGAUCAGUUCUUGAUCCAAUUGUUCAUGACUUGCUAUUAAUAUAAAUAUGUAAAUGCGUACAGUCUGCAAUGGUACCCUGAAGGAAAACAGGAGAGAAAGAGCCCACAGCACAGAAAGCUUUGUCUUGGGGAGCUUAACAAACCACCACUUCCAGUUUGUGCUAUCUCCACAGCUUUAAGAAACAAUGAAAUCUAUACUCAUCAAUGAGAUAGCAAUUCCAGCUCCAGCAUUUUGUGCAACUGCAAUGACUGCUGGUAACUAAUAGUUUGGAUCAACUCCAACAUUUUGUCAACCACAAUUGGAGCAGCCACUUUUUUACACCUGCUCCAGCAACAACUUUUGCUACGCUGGCUUAGAACUAAACCUUUUGGAAAGUUACAACUGAAGCUGCUAAACCUGUUGUACAACUAGCAUUUCUAAACCAACUUCAGUGACAACUUUGUUAACCUAUUUUUUUCAUACACUUCUGUUACGUUAACGUUUUUGUAUAAAAAAAUCUUUCACUGUUUCAAUAGAAUGCAAUAAUUUUCCUUUUGUA